rnacentral:miRNA from 12 species
AAGUUGUAUUAUGUACAAUAGU